ACAGCCACAUCACAUUGAAGCAUCAAUUCCCAUAUGAUCACUAAAGUUAAGCAAGGUUGAGCCUGGUCAGUAGCUUGAUGGGUGAGUACUUGGGAAUAUCAAGUUCUGUAA